AGCAGCCGCGGUAAUUCCAGCUCCAAUAGCGUAUAUUAAAGUUGUUGCAGUUAAAAAGCUCGUAGUUGAAUUUCGGGGUUAGUAGGUUGGUCAUGCCUCUAGUAUGUACUGGUCUCACUGAUUCCUCCUUCCUGAUGAACCUUAAUGCCAUUUAUUUGGUGUUUUGGGGAAUUUGGACUGUUACUUUGAAAAAAUUAGAGUGUUUAAAGCAAGCUAACGCUUGAAUACAUUAGCAUGGAAUAAUGAAAUAGGGCGUUCGAUCCUAUUUUGUUGGUUUCUAGGAUUGACGUAAUGAUUAAUAGGGAUAGUUGGGGGCAUUAGUACUCAAUUGUCAGAGGUGAAAUUCUUGGAUUUAUUGAAGACUAACUACUGCGAAAGCAUUUGCCAAGGAUGUUUUCAUUAAUCAAGAACGAAAGUUAGGGGAUCGAAGACGAUCAGAUACCGUCGUAGUCUUAACCAUAAACUAUGCCGACUAGGGAUCGGAUGAUGUUAAUUUUUAAUGACUCAUUCGGCGCC
rnacentral:rRNA from 1 species